rnacentral:RNase_P_RNA from 5 species
AUAGUAGGCCGUUCUAUCGCUUUGGCUUGUUCAAAGAGGAAAGUCCGGGCAACACAGAGUAACACACUUCUUAACGAGAAGAUGUUCGUGAGAGCAUAGUUAACGUAACAGAAAAUAACCGCCUUGCUUGCAAGGUAAGGGUGAAAACGUGAGGUAAGAGCUCAUAGAUAUUAUAUGCGAAUAUAAUAUGGUACGUCUUGUGUGUUGUAAGACCAUGUAUACCGACGGUUUAGGGUUACUCGCUCGAUGUCGGGGGGUAGGUUGCUUGAGUUGGUUGGCGACAACCAAACUAGAUAAAUGAUAGAAGCUCUUCGGAGUACAGAACCCGGCUUAUAGGCUUACUAUUUUU